UUAGAUUUUUCCGAGAUUUUUGUAUUAAUUAUAAAAUGGGUCAUUUUGGCACUCUAAGGUAAAAAAAAAAAAGAGCAGAUUUUCCUCAAACCAACUUUUUCUGAACCCUGCUAAAGGAUCAGUCAGAGGAUUUCAAACCCCUCCUCCCUUUCAAAGUGACUUUUCUUCCAACCUUAAUCACUGUUUUGUUUUUAUUUCCUUCCAGUAACCUCAGGCUGUCCCAGGUUUGGAUAAUGUUUCCCCCCACCUCUACCAGCAGCAGCACUUCAGAGUGCAAGUUCUAAUCCAGAAGCCUGGGAGUUAUCAUACGACUAAAAGGAAAUGGUUCCUCUUUGAAAAGCCUUACCUUACGAGAGUCCUAAUAAACUUGGACUGGAUACAGCUUUUGAUAAAUUCCCACCCAAGGAUCAAACACAAAACCCAGUCGUGGGAUGACAGCUGAUAGCACAGUACGUCAGAAUCAGUCGAUUGUCAAUGUGUCCGUGUGCAGAAAGAAGAGCUUGUUGAAUAUUACCUGGAAUGAUCCAAGAGCCAAUUCGAAAAACAGCUGAAUUUCCAUUGUGCCACUGCUUGCAUCUUCAGGGAAGAAAGCAAAGAUUAUGUAGUGGACCCCAAAGAGAGGGAUGAGGAGGAGUGUUGACUUUGCAAGUCUCCUAAGAACAAAGACAGAGGGGAAAGCUGGUGUAGAAGAAGCAAGAAGAGCUCAGGUGAGCUCAUGUGCAUGAAGUUGCGAUGUAAAGGACAUACUUGUAUUGGUUGAAAUCACUGCUCCGUCCUUCAGGUGAGCUGAGCUUCCUCAUCAAGAUUCUUAAAAUGUUGACAAAAAGAAUGAAAUUAAUCUGGGGAAAAAAGGAAAAAAGGAUUAGAAAAAAACCCCUCCAAACCAAAGCAAAACCACAACAAAACAAAUGCCCAGUAAACACUUAUGUAACUGCCAAGUAUCAGCAGAGCAAUUGGGUGUUUAGGCUGAGCAGGCAAAAUAGAGAGGCUAUGGCUGGCCUGCUCAUGUCCCUGUCCCCAUCCCAGUCCCUGUCCCUGCCUCUCCAGGCUGCCCAGCCACCCCUGGGUUUGGGUGAUGGCUGCUUUCCCUGGCAGUUUGUUGCAGCUUUAGUUAUGGAGACGAUCAGGGCUUAUUAUCUGGGCAAAUAACCAAAGGGCAAGGAGACCAGGCACAUCGGCAGGAUACCUUCUGUCUGGGGUUCAGACAGCCUCUACACAGUCUAGCCCCACUUUGGAUUCCAGCAAAGGGGCAGCACGGGAGCUACCACUUGCUAAGUGGGGCUGCAAAUGCUGCUUGCUCUCUGCCAAAAGACACAUCAUGGUUUAAGUUGAUGGAGGCAAAGUAGUUAAAAGUGGAGAUAGGAGAGAGUAGACACUCAAGUUCUUCCUUUUGCAUUUUCCCCCUCUCCAAGGACAGUUAUCAGAUAAAAAUGCUGACCGGCUGCUCAGUUUGGGUGAAGAUGAAGCAAUAGCUGUUUCUGCUCUUUUGACCCUCAGGCAAAGAGCAGGAGCCGCAGGUGAGGCAGACCUGGCCUGAGUGUGCCUCUCUCCCAUGGCCAGCCUGUAGCACCGGGGAGUGACUUUGGUUCUAUCUGCCCUUUUCACCAGGGCUUCCAGCAUCACACUGUGCUGCUCCUGCACCCCUUUUGUAACAUCCUGCACUGUGGCAGGCCCGUAACCCUCCCAUAUGCCUGGAAACACCAUAGCAGCAAUGCAUCCUCUUCGUGGUGGCUUGGACCUGCCUGUGGGUUUUGGAACAGGGCUCUGAGGUGGUGGGUUUCCCUAAAAGAAGUGGGUCUACUGGAGGUGGGACAGAUUCAGGAUGUCCCCGUGUUUCCUAAAUUACUGGAUGGAGAGGGACCAACUGUUCCUGCGUGGUCUGGGCAGCUGAGAGUGUCUGGAGAGGGCUGGGGAACAUGAAGGAAAGAUGAAAUAUUUCCUUCCUGAAAUAUUUCCUUCCUGAAAUAUUUUCCCCUGAAGAGGAAAGGAGGUUCAGGCCUGUGGAUUCUGGCAUUUUUAUUCCACUAGGCCAGGCACGAGCAGUGUAGGCUGAGCAGGACUUUUUGCUGAUGAAAAACUACUGAGGAAGGGGGGAUGGCGGGAUUCUUGCUGGGAGGGAUUGCCCGUGGGCAGCACAGCAAUGAAUGUUAGCCUAGGAGCACAAAGGAGUUUAUCGGUGUUGAUUUUCUGGCCUUUGAACUGGUAAAGACUGUGUGCUGUGAGGAAUAAAGAGAUUAGAUCUGAA